AACAUGUUGACAGAACUUGAACUAGCUAAAUUGAGUGAAGAUGCCGCCGCCGAUAUCAUCGAAUAUUUCUACUCACGACUAAUGAUGAGUGCAGGUUUAAAAUUCUUAACAACAGUAAAGGAAUUGGCAACAUCCGCGACGGAGAACCGAAGUUACAAGAAGGCUUCUCAGGUUUAAUGCAACUGAUGCCGUAGACUCUUCUCAAAAGCUUUUGGAGG